AUGACUUUGAUCUGCGUCCUCAUCUGGACUCUCCUCUGCUGCUGCUUCACAGAGUCCAGAGGACAGAUCACAGUGACUCAGCCUGGAGCAGUGAGCUCUGCUGUGGGAGGAUCUGUGAACAUCAAGUGUAGGACCAGUCAGGAUGUUUAUAGCUCUAACCGUUUAGCCUGGUACCAACAGAAAGAUGGAGGAGUUCCGAAAUUGCUCAUUUACCUUGCUAGCUAUCGACAAUCAGGGAUUCCAGCUCGUUUUACAGGCAGUGGAUCAAACUCUGACUUCACUCUGACCAUCAGUGGAGUCCAGGCUGAAGAUGCAGCAGUUUAUUACUGUCAGAGUUUUCAUGUCAUCAACAGUCAAGACAUCAUGGGGCGGAGCCCUCGUCAGCACACCUGCCAUGCUCACCUGAUUGUGAUCUAGGACAUCCGGCAGUAUUUAAGACCAGUGUCGACAUCGCUUCUUUGCUGGUCCAUCUGCUAACCACAUGUUAGCAACAGGCCGCCUUUAUGUCUUGUGCUGUGUUUAACUUUCCUUGUUCUCCUUGUGCUCUCAGUAGCAUCUCAGAUCCAUCAG